rnacentral:sRNA from 1 species
CAGUUAAGUGACUAACGUAUAUUAGGAU